rnacentral:lncRNA from 1 species
CGCACCGAAUCCCACCGAAAUCGGGGGAUUCUGUUACAACCGCACGCAUAGGUAGCCACCUGGUGCUUUGGCCUAUUUAAGCCGCGUUACGGUGCCAUCUAAAGGAGUUUCGUCGAACCGCCAUUAGUGAGGGGGGAAUGGAUCCAGUCCGCCGCCAUUACCACCCACCCACAGCACCGAUUGGUGAUUGAAUAAGCGCCUUGGUAGUUCACCUGUGAGUAUGGGUUCUCCCAAACGAGUCAAUUGGAAACAGGAAACUUCUGGGCGCGUGGAAUUCGUCGACAGAUCCUCACCAUUCGCUCGGGCCGCACUUGCCGGGGUCCUACACCACUACCACAACCAAACAACCGGUAUGAAUAGCACCAAUUGUUUCGUCUUCAUCUCUAUUGCGUGUAGCACUAUUCAGGGGGAAUUGGGGCUCUGGGGUGCUGGCCACGUGUGCGCCGGUGAGCUCCACCGCCGCGGGCAGAUCGGCACCGCGGUCUGGUGCCGCUAGGAAGGAGAAGAUCGUGCUCGCCGUUGAUAUGGUAACAGACGUCUAGGAUUAGAGCUCAAAGUACCCUUUCACGGUUUGAAUCCCAACCGUUGGCGUGUGAUCGGGCGAAUCCGGGCUAAUCUAGGUCAAUUAAAAUCCGAACCACUGAUGAUAGAUCGGAGGGGCGAGGUCGUGUACCGGUUCACAGUUAUGAGCCAACUAAUCUGUGGCGUUAGUGGACGAUCCAACAGCCAAUAUCGCAUACCGGUUCGCGGGGCUUGGGAUCUAAUCUGGGGCGUUGAAAAUAGAUCGCACGGCUAGAAUUCACUGAUAGCCUUCGGCCUACCCUUUUUAACCUAAGAGACCCUCUUCUUUUCGCAAAUAAACCCGCAGUCCGUGUUAAUUGAAAGAGCACUACAACUAGGUCCUUUCUCUUGUUGUUAGGCCCCUGAGUUCUUGGACAAUUGUAUCCCUAGUCCAGAAUUAGUAGGAAUAUUCAUAAUUUAAAUCAGAAAAUGAUUUUCUUUGUAUAAAUAAUUCCAUAUACUUGAUUAGUCCAUAUCUAAUCCAUUUUAAUUCCUUUUUGAUCCAACUCAGUUGCAAUAAAUUCAUGAUAAUAUUGUUUAUUAUCUAGUAACCUAUUUUAGUAUGAAACAUAUGGUUAAAUUUAUGUGCUUGAUUUAUUUUGUACCUAUCACUUAAAACAUAGGAAAAUCAUAACUUGUCCAUUUUAGCUUAGAAUGGACCCGUUCAAAUUGCAGUAGUUUCAUAUAAAUAUUUACUAUGCAUUAACACACAUUAAUUAGACAUACCACAUGGUUUAUAAUUAAAUACUUAUUUAUCCUAUGUCUAGUAAAUUAAUCCAUCUAAUUAAAGUAACAUGUUUAUAAUGUGAAUAAAAGAGGAUCUUUAACUAAGAUAUGACUUAUAAAUAAAGAUUAUCCUUAAUGUAUAUCUCACAUGAUCUAUAAAACCAAUCUAAGGCCCAGUUUUAAUUAUUUAAUCACUACAAUCUUCCGAAAGCCAUAUCCUCUUAAUCGUAACUCCGAUUUUAGUGGUUCUGGAGCCCACGAUCUCGUAGCAAUGGGUAGAUUAUUAUUAUGCGGUUGUUCUUAUGUUUGGUGUGAUGUUAAUUUUUGUCUAUGCACUAUUUGUUUGUAUUUCUACGUUUAGCACUGAGGUCACGAGUCAUCUGAAGAGCAAGUUGGUACCUGGAAUCUCAAGUCCCAGGCAAGUUGUGCCCUUGAUCACUUUUAUUUACCCAAUAAUGUUCUUUAUAAUCAUUUAUUCAUGCAUAGGCUUAAUUUUGAUGGGACCCAAUAGGUCACCCUAGUCUUGUUAUCUUUAUACCUUGUUUAGCCCUGAACUAUUUGGGUAGUUUUUGCUAUUGUUGUAUAUGGUUUUGGGAUUAAUAUUACAUUAUGAUUAUGUUCCAAUUAUACUGUUGUUUUACAUAUUGUUCAUGACAAGAUCAUUAUAUUAAUUGGAACAUGGAGCUUAACUUGAGAAACACGUGCCACCACAAGGGUGGAAUGGGACACCCUUGGCUGACUAAUUAGGAAAGCUAGUGGAAGACUACCUUACCCGAAAGGGGCAAGGGCAGUAGGGGUGUAGGCGUGUACUGAGGUUCUCGAGUUGAUUUUGCUGCGAUGGCGGUCAGACGAGGGAUUCCUACAUCGCUCUUCCUAGAAACUGUAGCGGGUUUUCGGAAGCUAGUGGAACUUUGUAAAGGCCUCGUAGUGGAUCCCUAGUCAUUCACCUCGGAAGUGUCUAAGGGCCUUGCAAACCUUGGCAACAUGGGAUAGACGACUUGUGGGUACAGGGUACAACCUCUACAGAGUGUAAAACUGGUAUACUAGCCGUGCUCGCGGUCAUGAGCAGCUCAGGACUCUCGCAUGAUUAAUUUAUGGAACUAAAUUCAAUUUUUCAUAUGCAUUGCAUCGCGGGUGUUGUUAUAAAUUUUGAUCUAUUAUUACUCUAGUUUGGUAUCUACUUGUCGGGUACCGUAAUUAGGGGUACCCCCAAUGCUCCUUAACAUGUCUGGAAAACAUCCUCAAAACAGACCGUAAAGACCGGUAAGCGCGGUUCAAAGUUGAAACCUCAGGGACGCGAUCUCGUCUCGCCCGAGCCCGGCCUCGGGCAAGAACAAUAGUCCCGAACGGAUUCACGCCUCGCCCGAGGACCUCCUCAGGCAACGGACGCACCCCCGGCUCGCCCGAGGCAAAACUCGGGUAAACUUUGUCGUGUAGCGACCUCGGCCAAAUCGCCUUACCAACCGACCGUAUCGCAUGCGCAUUUAAUGCGGGGAUCGCCUGACACCUUAUCCUGACACGCGCGCCUCAGUCGGCAAGGUUGAAGUGACCGCAGUCACUUCGCCCCUUUACUGAUCGUUCUGACAGGAAAACAACACUAUUCACCCCGUUCCGACUACUGUGCCAACCACCAGGGUAAAACUAACAACAGUAAGUCACGACCUCCCCCGAGUUCAUCCUCGGGCGCAACAGGGAGCUCUGCCUCGCCCUACCUCAGGCCUCGGCCUCAGCCUUGGCCUCAGGAGACGGUCUCCGCCUCGCCCGACCCCAGGCCUCAGCCUCAGCCUCGGCCUCGGGAGAAAGUCUCCGCCUCACCCGACCUCGGGCCUCGGCCUCAGCCUCAGCCACGGGAGGAGUCACAUCCUCGCCCGACCUCAGCCUCAACCUCAGGAGAAGUCUCCGCCUCGCUCGACCUCGGCCUCAAACCAACGACGCCACUGGGGAUACAUCAUUACCCUACCCCUAGCUAGCUGCCUCAGGCUACGAAGGAACAAGACCGGUGUCCCAUCUAGAUUACUCCGGUAACAGGUAAUGAUGGUUCCCUGCGUGCGUCCAUGACGUCGGUUGUUCUCAACUACUCUACGAAAGCAAAGAAACGUCAGCAGGACCCCUGCCGCACCGCCAGCUGUGCUUCUACAGGGCUCAAGUACUUCUCCGCGAGCCACGUUAGCACAUAGCUACACCCCCAUUGUACAGCAGGACCAUCUCCUUGUAUCUAUAAAAGGGGAUGUCCAGGGCCUUCCUAAGGGGGAGACGCAGGCAGAGUGGGAGAAACGCAGAGGAGGCUAACUCAGACAGCUCACCUCAGGGCCGAACCCUCUCCCUCUCUCUCUCGCGACGCUUGUAACCCCUACUACGAGCACCCCGGUGCAAGAUAAUAUAAGCCGUAUCCUCCCUCUCGUGUUCCAUAUUGCAUCAACCCAUCUGAGCAGGGACAUGUAGCGACAAAUUCACUAGUCGGUUGAGGGUCCUCGCGGGUCUGAAACACUGACAGUUGGCGCGCCAGGUAGAGGCCUGCUGCGUGUUGACAAAUACUUUCCCGUUGAGUUCCAGAUGGACAAUCUUCGGCAGCCUCUUCAGCCUGGGACGGUGCUCCGCUUCGGGAGUCUCGAGUUCAUGUCCCGCGACAGCAGCUACAACAUGGUACUCCUCCCCUCGCAGCACGACAACAUCGACGGUCGUCGGCUCGCCCGACGAAGGCGAACUCGACGACGACUUCCCCCCGUGGCGGAAGAGGAACACCCGGGUUCGCCCUGCCACCCUCCUCACCGGAGGAGGAGGAGACGGGGCAACCGUGGCUAGGCAGGAGGCGGCACUUCGUCGGCUGUCGGGCCAGAGCGAGCCGACGACGCCGACACCCCUACGGGGGACAUGUCGGGUGUUGUCCUCACACCUGAGACAACGACGGGUGUCGCUUCCCAGCAACGCACCGACCCCAAGCAGACUGAUGACGCUGGCACCCUUGCGAGGUACUUGUCGGACAUUUGUCUCGCACCUGAGAUAACGACACACUCCGUCCCCGAUGCAACUUCACCAUCGUCCAUCAACCAGGAGGUACCAUCAGUUUUCCACCCUGUUCCCUUUAGAUUUAGCUUCGACCCACCAAGCGACCCCGCUUCAGUGAGCGCUUUCGCAAGGGUGUAUCCUGAUCUUCCAGGGUACCAUAUGUGGUCAACUUAGGACCGACUGGCGGCCGUCUCAACCUCUGGACCUGCGGGUUCUGAGGAAGAAGACGACCCCGACUUCGGUUGGGAUUUCUCCGGACUCCGUGAUCCCAUUGCCAUGCGAGACUUCAUGUCCGCAUGUGACUACUGCCUCUCCGGUUACUCUGACGAUGGCCACAGCCUUGACGACGAGGGUUACGACCCAAGUCGCGAGUGUUUCCACAUCGAUCAGGGGGAUCACGAUGAGGACAACCACCUCGGCAUGCCAGAAAACGACGACGCCCCUACGCCUACGUCUCGCGUUGAGAUCCCGCGGGAGCUAGCUGUGGCCCGAGUCCCUGCGGGGGGUCAGGACACACAGCUCGAGCAACUCCGCAAGAUGCAGGCCAAGCUCGACGAAGAAACGGGGCGACUUGUGCAGCUCCGACAAAACAUCGAGCAAGAGUGGGCAGGUCGAGCACUCGCCGGAGGAGCGCGUCAUCGGGCCCGGGACGUCCAGCGCCGUAUCAUUGACGAUGCCAGGGCAGGGCUGUCCCCAGCCUUCAGUAGGGCCGGCAAGAACCUAGCUGCAGCGGCAAUGCAACUUCGAACAAUGCUGGAGCCAUCCACCACCGAGGGGCAACGUAUCUAGGGCAAACUCAAGGAUCUCCUGGAAAAUGUCGUCGUCCGACGAGCCAAAAGCUCUGCCUCUCGAAGGCGAGGGUGCCCCUCGGAGCAUCGCGCAACGUCCUCCCGACGCAUGCGGAAGGCCUCCAUCCACACCGAGCGCACAGGGGACGGGACGCCUGCAGCCCCAGACCGCCUCGGCAGCGAGCAACACCGCCACGACCGUCGAGCCCGCCUCAAGUAAAGGGUGCGCCGAGGCUACCACCCCAGGCACGGAGGACGCUACGACAGUGAGGAGGAUCGGAGCCCCUCGCCCGAACCACCAGGUCCGCGAGUCUUCAGCCGGGCCAUACGACGGGCGCCGUUCCCGGCCCGGUUCCGAGCCCCGACUACAAUCACCAAGUACUCAGGGGAGACAAGGCCGGAGUUGUGGCUCCCGGAUUACCGGCUGGCGUGCUAGCUGGGAGGGAUGGAUGACGACAACCUCAUCAUCCGCAACCUCCCCCUUUUCCUCUCCGACGCCGCCCGGGCCUGGCUGGAGCAUCUGCCUCCUGCGCAGAUCUUCGACUGGGACAACUUGGUCAAGGCCUUCGCUGGAAAUUUCCAAGGUACGUACGUGCGCCCUGGGAACUCGUGGGAUCUCCGGAGCUGCCGCCAGUAGCCAGGGGAAUCCCUGCGAGAGUACAUCCGGCGGUUUUCAAAGCAGUGCACCGAGUUGCCCAACAUCACCGACUCGGACGUCAUCGGGUCAUUCCUCGCCGGCACCACUUGCUGAGACCUGGUGAGCAAACUAGGGCGUAAGACACCCACCAAGGCGAGCGAAUUGAUGGACAUAGCCACCAAGUUCGCCUCUGGCCAGGAGGCAGUCGAAGCCAUCUUUCGAAAGGACAAGCAACCUCAGGGAAGAGAGAAGGAAGAAGCCCCCGAGGCGUCCGUCCCGCGUGGCACAAAGAAGAAGACCUGGAAGAAGGCGCAAGCAAAACGCGACGCCAUUGACGCGGAUCUUGUUGCUGCUGCCGAGCACAGGAAUCCUCAGAAGCCUCCCGGAGGGGCCAACAUGUUCGACAAGAUGCUCAAGGAGUCGUGCCCCUAUCACAGGGGUCCUGUCAAGCACACCCUUGAAGAGUGUGACAUGCUCCGGCAUUACUUCAAUAAGGCAGGACCCUCGAUAAAAGGUGGCAAGUACCAAGGUAAUGACACGAAGGGGGGUGACAAGGAAGAAGAGUUCCCGGAAGUCCACAACUGCUUCAUGAUCUACGGCGGGCAAGUGGCGAAUGCUUUGGCUCGACACCGCAAGCAGGAGCGCCGGGAGGUCUGCUCGGUGAAGGUAGCAGCGCCGGUCUACCUAGACUGGUCCGACAAGCCCAUCACCUUCGACCAAGGCGACCACCCCGACUACGUACCAAGCCCAGGAAGGUACCCGCUCGUCGUCGACCCUGUCAUCGGCAACGCUAGGCUCUCCAAGGUCCUCAUGGACGGAGGCAGCAGUCUCAACAUCAUCUACGCCGAGACCCUAGGGCUCUUGGGGAUCGAUCUGUCCACAAUCCGGGCCGGUGCAGCACCUUUUCAUGGGAUUGUCCCCGGCAAGCGUGUCCUGCCCCUUGGCCAACUCGACUUACCCAUCUGCUUCAGAACUCCCUCCAACUUCCGAAAGGAAACCCUCACUUUCGAGGUUGUCGGGUUCCGAGGGACCUAUCACGCGGUGCUGGGAAGAUCGUGCUACGCCAAGUUCAUGGCCGUCCCCAACUACACGUACCUCAAGAUCAAGAUGCCAGGCCCCAAGGGAACCAUCACCGUCGGCUCCAUGUACCGCCACGCUUACGAGUGCGACGUGGAAUGCAUGGAGUGCGCUGAGGCCAUCGCCGAGUCCGAGGCCCUCAUCGCCGACCUGGAUUGCCUCUCCAAAGAGGCGCCUGAUGCGAAGCGCCACGCCGGCAACUUCGAACCAGCCAAGGCGGUUAAGUCCGUCUCUCUCGACCCCAGCAAUGACGCCGACAAGAAAGUUAGGAUCGGCUCCGAGCUCGACCCCAAAUAGGAAGCAGUGCUCGUCGACUUUCUCCUUGCAAACACCGAAAUUUUUGCGUGGAGUCCCUCGGACAUGCCCGGCAUACCGAGGGAUGUCGCCGAGCACUCGCUGGACAUCCGAGCCGGUGCCCGACCCGUGAAGCAGCACCUACUCUGUUUUGAUGAAGAAAAGCGCAGGGCCAUAGGCGAGGAGGUCCACAAGCUAAUGGCUGCAGGGUUCAUCAAAGAGGUAUUCCAUCCAGAAUGGUUAGCUAACCCUGUGCUUGUAAGGAAAAAAGGUGGGAAAUGGAGGAUGUGUGUAGACUACACUUGGUUAAAUAAAGAAUGUCCAAAGGUUCCCUACCCUCUGCCUCACAUCGAUCAAAUUGUGGACUCCACUGCUGGGUGCGAAACCCUGUCUUUCCUCGAUGCCUAUUCAGGCUAUCACCAAAUCAAGAUGAAAGAAUCCGACCAGCUCGCAACUUCUUUUAUCACACCUUUUGGUAUGUAUUGUUAUACUACUAUGCCAUUUGGCUUGAGGAAUGCAGGUGCAACAUACCAAAGGUGCAUGAACCACGUGUUCGGAGAGCACAUCGGCAGAACGGUCGAGGCUUACGUCGAUGACAUCGUUGUCAAAACAAGGAAAGCCUCCGACCUCCUCUCUGACCUUGAGAUAACAUUCAGGUGUCUAAGAGCGAAGGGCGUAAAACUCAAUCCUGAGAAGUGUGUCUUCGGGGUCCCUCGAGGCAUGCUCCUAGGGUUCAUCGUCUCCGAACGAGGCAUCGAGGCCAACCCGAAGAAAAUCGCGGCCAUCACCAACAUGGGACCCAUCAAAGAUUUAAAGGGAGAUACAAAGGGUCAUGGGAUGCCUUGCGGCUCUGAGCCGCUUCAUCUCGUGCCUUGGCGAGAAAGGAUUGCCCUUGUACCGCCUCUUAAGGAAGGCCGAGCGCUUUACUUGGACUCCCGAGGCCGAAGAAGCCCUCGGAAACCUUAAAGCACUCCUUACUAAUGCGCCCAUCUUGGUGCCCCCCGCUGCGGGAGAAGCCCUCUUGAUUUACGUAGCCGCAACCACUCAGGUGGUCAGCGCCACGGUCGUAGUCGAGAGACGAGAAGAAGGGCAUGCACUGCUCAUCCAGAGGCCAGUCUACUUCAUCAGCGAGGUGCUAUCUGAGACCAAGAUCCGCUACCCACAAAUCCAGAAGCUACUGUACGCGGUAAUUCUAACACGGCGAAAGCUGUGACACUACUUCGAGUCUCAUCCGGUGACUGUGGUGUCAUCCUUCCCCCUGCGAGAGAUCAUCCAGUGCCGAGAGGCCUCGGGUAGGAUAGCGAAAUGGGCAGUGGAACUCAUGGGCGAAACACUUUCAUUCGCCCCUCGGAAGGCCAUAAAAUCUCAAGUCUUGGCAGACUUCCUGGCUGAAUGGGUCGACACCCAAUUGCCAACAGCUCCAAUCUAGGCCGAACUUUGGACCAUGUACUUCGAUGGGUCGCUUAUGAAAACCGGAGCGGGUGCUGGCUUGCUCUUCAUUUCACCCCUCGGGAAACAUGUGCGCUACGUUAUACGCCUCCAUUUUUCGGCGUCAAACAACAUGGCCGAAUACGAGGCCUUGUUUAAUGGGUUGCGCAUCGCCAUCGAGCUAGGGGUUCGGCGCCUCGAUGCUCGUGGCGACUCGCAGCUUGUUAUUGACCAAGUCAUGAAGAACUCCCACUACCACGAUCGAAAAAUGGAGGCCUACUGCGACAAAGUUCGGCGCUUGGAAGAUAAGUUCUACGGGCUGGAACUCAACCAUGUUGCUCGACGGUACAACGAGACUGCGGACGAGCUGGCUAAAAUAGCCUCGGGACGGACGACGGUUCCCCCGAACGUCUUCUCCAAGGACAAAUAUCAACCAUCCGUCAAAAUUGACGACGCGCCCGAAACCGAGGAAACCUCGGCCGCCGAGGGUGAGGCCCUGCGCGUCGAGGGAGAGCAGAAUGGGGUUACGCCAAACUCGAACUGGCAGACCCCGUACCUAGAAUAUCUCCUCCGAGGAGAGCUGCCCCUCGACAAGGCCGAAGCUCGGCGACUGGCUCGGCGCGCCAAGUCAUUCGUUUUACUGGGUGAUUAAAAAGAGUUGUACCACCGCAGCCCCUCAGGCAUUCUCCAACGAUGCAUAUUCAUCGCCCAAGGACAAGAGCUGUUACAAGAAAUACACUUGGGGGCUUGCGGUCACCAUGCAGCACCUCGGGCCCUCGUGGGAAACGCUUUCCGACAAGGUUUCUACUAGCCGACCGCGGUGGCCGACGCCACUAGGAUUGUACGCUCCUGCCGAGGGUGUCAAUUCUACACGAGACGGACACACCUGCCCGCUCAGACCCUACAGACAAUACAUAUCACUUGGUUGUUUGCCAUAUGGGGUCUGGACCUCGUCGGUCCCUUGCAGAAGGCACCCGGGGGCUUCACGCACCUGCUGGUCGCCAUCGACAAAUUCUCCAAGUGGAUCGAAGUCCGACCCUUAACCAACAUUAGGUCCGAGCAGGCGGUGGCGUUCUUCAUAAAUAUCAUCCAUCGCUUUGGGGUCCCAAACUCCAUCAUCACCGAUAAUGGCACGCAGUUCACUGGGAAAAAGUUCCUAGACUUUUGCGAAGGCCGCCACAUCCGUGUGAACUGGGCCACCGUGGCUCACCCAAUGACAAAUGGGCAGGUGGAGCGCGCCAAUGGCAUGAUUUUGCAGGGACUAAAACUGAGGAUCUACAAUGACCUCAACAAGUUUGGCAAGCGGUGGAUAAAAGAACUACCCUCGGUAGUUUGGAGCCUGAGGACGACGCCGAGCCGGGCCACGGGCUUCUCGCCAUUUUUCCUAGUCUAUGGGGCCUGUCACACCCGGUUUUGAAGGUAAACCGAAUGCGAACCAUUUAUGUGCCAGGAUCAGUAAUUCACGUACACAGCGAUUACAUAAAUGACUCAUCAUAGCACAAUGCUUCGAAUUACAAUAAAGAGUAAGUAAUAAUAUUACAAACUAGAGUCAUUUACAUAAUAUAAAUCAAAGUACACAUAAUCGAAACGUAGCCAACGUAAACAACCCACCACAGGCAGCUGACGGGGGGAGGUCGCUAGCCUAAUCCUCGAACUCGUCGACGUCAUGGAACUCCUGGAGAUCCGCCUCGACGCCUUGUUUACCUGAGCAUAGAUUGCACCAAAGGCAACCUGGUGUUCUGUGAAAGCAAGGGUGAGUACACAUCAACGUACUCAGCAAAUGUCCCGUUUGGUUGUAGUGGACUAGCUUUAUGUGGGGUUAAGUCAAGCAGUUGCUUUUAGUUGGUCAGGUUAUUAUUACAAGUCCUUACGGAGAUGAUGGAGUUAACGGCACGACGGCUAAGCGAACUACACCCCGGUUCCUCUAAUUAUUCAGCUAAGGGCAUCCCAUUCCACCCUCAUGGUUGCACUGUUUUCCCGGGCGGUCAUCCAACGAACAGGUCCUUACGGAGAGGCACUCGAGAAACCGCUCGAGCCCCCUUAAAUGACACAUGUAUAACAUCAUAAUAAAGAAGGGAAACAUCGUAUCAUUGAUAAAUCUCAUCAUGUUCAUUGAUUAGAGUUGAGCAAUAGCAUAAAGCUAAACAAUAAUAACCCAAAAGGUAAUCAAGGACAAGGUAAAUACAAAGCUAGUCAAUCCUUAGGUUGAUCAUGGUAUGCGGGUUGAUGAAUUAUAAAGUAAAUGGGACAUAAUAGGUCAGAGGACACUUGCCUUCACCAAACAGAUGCUCAGGGUCUUCGAUCUCGUAGAACUCAAAGAGUUCGAUCACUUGGUCGCCAUGCUUGAUCGUCGAUUCCUCGAAGCUCAGAAACGAAUCACGAUCUAAUCGCAACGCAAAGUGAAGACGAACAGGCACAAGCAAACAAACAUAUACAUGUGCAUAAGAACAUUACACCAUACAAGAUAAAAUGUUAUAAAAGCGAGCAAUAUAAAAUAGAGAGCGCCUCUACGGUUACGCGAGGAAAAGAACCACGAUAGUCGAAGAUACGGUCGAGGGGUUAGCGUGUUUACGUUAAACAAGUACUAAUUAGAACAUCCAAUUCAACAUAAUUAUAUUAAUUGAUAUUAAUCAAAUGUAAAUUAAUACUACUACUUAGUUUUGACUAACUUACUAUUUUAAUAGUUGACAGUUAAGCAAGUAACUUAAUGAAUAUGAGCGAUUCUAAGCGAGACGAAUUAACGACGCACGACGUGCAAACACGAUGUGUGCAAUGCGCUGACACAAACGACAUAGCGCGUGGACAACGCGCGAUACGCGCGAACGGCAUGCGGCAAGGCGCGCGACACAUGCGAACGGCACACGACAACGCGUGCGAACAACACGUGCGACACUCGCGAACGACACGCGACGACAUGCGCGAAACAGCACCGCGACACGCGCGAACCGACAUGCGAAACUAAUAAAUAAAUAACGUGAUUAAACUAAAUAAUUAUUAAUAAAUAACAUUUCAGUUAAGGAUAAUCAUAUUGGUGACUAAUUAUAAAUGCGCAAAUCGAAUUCCUAAAUUAGGUUUUUAAAUUAAAACGUCGUUCUAGUAGCCACUGGUUAGACAAACGUUUAACUAAAUUAAAUAAAAUGUGUAAAAAUUGGGAUAAAUAUUUCUAAAUUAAGAUAAUUUUAAUACGAAUCUAACACAACUUGAAUGGAUCGAAUCGGGUUUAAAACGCAAAAGUUAUGAAUAUUUUAAACCAUACUGUAAUUCGUGUGGACUAAAUUUACGAGAUUGUCAUCGUCUUCUUCCUUUUUUUCAUCUUCUUCCUCUCAUCCAUGGAAGAGAGAGGAGAGGAAGGGGAGGGGGCUGCGCAGAGGAGGACGAGGUUGGGCCGGCCGGGGGUGGGCGCGGCCGCACAGGGCGCGAGGGGCGCGGCCACCGCUCCCGAGGAGGGGUGCGCGCGGGCGUGGGGCGCGGGAGCGCGAGCGCCGCCGUCGGCCACCGCCGCCACCGCCGGGGAGGAGAAAAGGGGCGCCGCCGGGGAGGGGAAACAGAGGAGGAAGGGGCGCCGCCGUCGGGGAAGGUGAGGGGAGAGUGGGAGAUGCUCUGCACGGACGGGAAAACGAAGAAACGAAAAAACUCUAGAUGCAACAAUGGAGGUUUCUCACCGGGGAAGAAGACCCUCGCCGGAGCCGAAGCCAAAUCAGUCGAUUGCCAGAGAUUCGGGGGUCCAAUCGACGAACCGAACGCGCUGCAACGAAGCCCUCGACGAGACGAACGCAGCGGUACCCUCGGAUUCCGCAGACGAUGCAUGGAUUGGGAGUAAUUGCUCGCCGGAGUUGGAACCGCCCCGAACUUCGGCGAGCAAUACCGGGAGCUAGGGAUUAGAUUUAGAGAAAACAUUUCGUGUUCUGGAACGGGCUCGACGAGAUGAAGCCGGACAUGUAUAUAUACCUAGGGUUUGGACGAGAUAAAAAUUCGGUUAAAAUUCAGAUUUUACUAUUUUUAAAAUUUGAAAAAAGCCUAGAAAUCCAUAUUUUGUGCUCAAAAUAUUAUAGAUACUUUUAAAAAUUCCAGAAAAAUUCCUAUAAAUGUUUUGGCACCUAAUAAACUCAAAAAACAUAAUUAGAAUUUCUAAAACAUUUUUAAGUUCCACAAAUAAAUAGAUUUUGGUUUCUGGAAAAUAGAAAAAUAUUCCGAAAAAUAUGAAAAUUUACCGAGCGCUUCUAUAAGAUAUGUUAACAUAUUUCAAACACAUUUUGCACUUAGAAACACCAUGCAACGACAUGAAUGCAACAACCAAAGUGCCUCUAGGGCUUAUUCCACUAGGUUUACGCUAAUAUAAAACAAAAUAAUUCUCCAUUUUUAGGGAAAAGAGAAAGGAAAGCGAAGAACUGAGAGAGUAACACCUAAAUUUGGUGGAUAUUAGGAAAUAAAUUUUAUACCCCCAAAUUCAGGGUGUUACAAAUCUAACCCCCUUAACAGAAUCUCGUCCUCGAGAUUCAAGAAGAGGCUAGCAAGAAAAUGAGAUUGGUUCAUUAGUCUUUCAUAGCUUUUUUCUAACUCAACUUUGACUCCGCCGGCUUGACUUGUGGAUUGGUUGCUUUGACCAUCAGAUGCUUGAGACCGAUUGAUGCAAUUCUUGAGGAUCUCCUAGGCCUGUGGGUUAGGACCCACACACGCUUUCGCUGCGCCAUUCGGAUCUUGUUGGUUGAUGUUGAUUGCAUUGUCUUCAUUGGGGUUAGCGGCUAACCCCCUUAACAAGAGCAUUGAUACACACUUGAUGAAGAUGUCGUCAACUCUAAUCUUGACUGAUUAAGAGAGGUUAUAGGAUGCCAACCGGACAGGUGCAAAAGGGAAGAGUAUAGAUAGAAAAGGUAAGAUAGAAAAGGUAAGCAUAGAUGGCUUAAAGAGAGGGAAGAGAGAGCACCAACUACCUAACUCUACGGCACUCAGCUAGUAAACUGAUGUCACUGCGGACCAAGGGCCACAACACAUCAACACUCAUUUCAAAGAAGCAAAUCAGUCAUACCACAAAGACAAUCACCAUGAGAACACAACAACAAACAUCUCGGUGCUAUACGUUCCUUUUAAGUACAUGGUGGUCUUUCUUGAAAAGGGAAUAACUACUCUCUAAGGUUGUCGAAAGACGAGGAGAAGAACAAGACGUGCAGGAUAGGGGCACGAACACCAUAAAGGAUGGAGUUAAAGCAAGGAUUGUAAUCGACAAGGGAGAAAAUGCAACCAAGGGCAGGGUAGGUAAACACCAUUCUCAAAUCGAGAUGGGAAAGAUGAUAAUUCAAAAGGUAGGCAUAAGAUAAGCAUUAUGGAAAGAUCUAGUGAUGACAAAGGUACAAGAGGUAAAAGGCAAAAGCACACCAAAAGAUCGAGUCAAGACAAGUCUUGCAACACGACAGAGGAAUAGCGAACGAACAAGAGCGGGGAGGGGUAAGACAACACUCUUGAAAUGAAAUGGGAGAGGAGGCUUUAAAAUGUAGGUGCAAGAUAAGCAUCAUGGUAAAGAUCAAGGGAUGACAAGGGUUAAGGUGAUAACAGACAAACACAACCAAGGAUGUAUUUUAGACAAAACUUGUGAGGCGUCAAAGAAGGGGAAGCAAUCAAUGGUGAAGUAGGUGAGGCAUUAUCCUCAAACAGCGAUGAAAAAGAAGAGGCUUUAAAGGGUAGGUUCAAGAUAAGCAUGAGGGCAAGGGCAUAGAUAUCACGAGGGUUUAAAGGUGAUAACGGACAAGGAUGUAGGAGAGGAGGUAAAUGCGCAUAAUAACUAAGGAUAUAAGUACCACAGAGGAUGGAGUUAAGACAAGACCUGCAGAUGAAAAAGAAGGAGGUACGUCCAAUGGCCAGAUAGGUAAACAACCACUCUCCAAUCGAGGUGGAAGAGAGGAGAUUUUAAAGAGCAAGAAUAAAGAUUAGUAUCAAGGCAAGAUCGAUGGAUGACAAGGAGGUGGUGAUAGCAAAUAAAACACAUAGCAAAGGAUGGAAUUGAAACAAAACUUGUAAGGCAACAAGAAGUGAAAAGAAAUCAAGGGAGAGGUAGGUAACUCGCAACUCUCAAACUGGGUUGAAAGAAAGGGGAGGAUUUAAAGGAUAAGUUUAAGGUAAGCAUUUAGGUAGAAGACAUAAAUAUCGCAAGGGCCAAAGGCGAUAACGGACAAGGGUGUAAGAGAAAAGAUAAAGGCAUAGAAGAGCAAGUGGUACAAAUACAAUAACGAAUGGAGUUAAGUCUAGGCCUACACGCGGUAAAGAAGAGGAUAUAGUCAAGGGUGAGAUAAGUAAAACAUAUCUCUCGAAUUGAGAUAAAAAAGAGGGGAUUUCAACAAGCAGACCUAAGAUAAGUAUCAAGGCAAGAUCUAUAGAUUACAAAGGUAAGGAUGAUAUCAAACAAAAGCUCAACAAAGGAUGAAGUUAAGGUAAGACAAGACUUGCAAAGCGACAAAGGGAAAGGAAACGAACAAGAGCAGGAUAGGGAAAAUAACACUCUCGGAUUGAAUGGAAUAAGUGAGGCUAAGAAAUAGGUAAACAUCAUGGUAAAUAUGGAGAGAGGUCAAGGGUCAAAGGUGAUAAUAGGCAAGGAUAUAAAGGAAGAGGUAAAUGUGCAUAAAAACAAGGAAUCUAGGUACAACCAAGAAUAGAGAUAAGAUAAGUCUUGCAAGAGGUAAAGUAUAGGAUAUAACCACGGGUGAGAUAAGUAAGAGACCACGCUUGAACUAAGGUGGGAGAUUGGAGGUUUUAGAUAACGAACAUAGCGUACUCACCAAGGUAAGAUUGAGAGAUGAGAAUGGUAAAGGCAAUAAGAAGCAAAAGCACAACAAAGGAUGAGGUUACAAACUCGCGAGCCAAAGAAGAGGAUAUGACCAAGAGAAAGAAGGUAUGAGACGGAAGAGGGGCGAUUUUAAAGGGCAGGUAUGAGACAAACAUCAAUGUAGGAUAUAGAGGUGUCAAGGGUGCAUAUGAUAAUAAUUAAAAGCAUAACAAAGGAUAUAGUUAAGGCAACACUCGUGAAACGACAAAGUGGAGAAAACAAUCAAGGGUAAGAUAGGUAAGGUUCCAACAUAAGAGUUGAAGUAAAGAUUCAUUACCGAGUGGAGUUACAAGGAGACAACGAGAUCACCAAGGAUAUGCAAAGUAGAAUGACCGCUCAUGGAUCAUUAAGAAACAAGGGUGGUCAAGGGCAUGUUAACUGAAAUGUCUCAAACAGAUAUUGGGAUAUAAAGGUAAGCAUAUAUAAAAAUAAGAGUAUGCAAGAUUCCAAUGGUACGAGCAUACCAAGACCAAGAAAGUACAAAUUGCCAAAAAGAUAGCGACUUAUCAAUAGAAUAGGAAAGGGUCUCAAAAGACAGUAAGAUCAUGGACAUAUAAACUGAAAUGUUUAAAUAGGCAGUGGAGGUACAAGGGUAAGUGCUUUAGAUUAAGGGUAAGGGUAUUAAAAAUGCAAGGAUACGAGCAUGUCAAUAACAAAAUGGAAUAGAGAUGGUCAAAUAGUAGCAAUUUAAUAAUGGAUGAGGAAAGAGUCCCAAAAGACUAAAGGCUAUGGUAGGGGGCAUCUACAAAGAUGUCGCAAGCACAAGAUGAGAUCAGAUCUAAUAGAUUGAUAGAAGUAUAGACCAUACUAGAAUAAAAUACUUUUUGGCAAGGGGGCAUAUAGGAGCACAACAUAGAAUUAGUCGAGGUGACUAAUAUUUUGAAGCAGAAUCAAGGAUGAGAUGAAGUAAUAAUCAAUAAGUCCUUAAAACGGCCAAUGCUACUCUAGGUCAGCGGUCCUAUAGUCAGCACGGCUUUGAUACCACUUAUGUCACACCCGGUUUUGAAGGUAAACCGAAUGCGAACCAUGUACGUGCCAGGAUCAGUAAUUCACGUACACAGCGAUUACAUAAAUGACUCAUCAUAGCACAAUGCUUCGAAUUACAAUAAAGAGUAAGUAAUAAUAUUACAAACUAGAGUCAUUUACAUAAUAUAAAUCAAAGUACACAGAAUCGAAACGUAGCCAACGUAAACAACCCACCACAGGCAGCUGACUGGGGGAGGUCGCUAGCCUAAUCCUCGAACUCGUCGACGUCCUGGAACUCUUGGAGAUUCGCCUCGACGCCUUGUUUACCUGAGCAUAGAUUGCACCAAAGGCAACCUGGUGUUUUGUGAAAGCAAGGGUGAGUACACAUCAACGUACUCAGCAAAUGUCCCGUUUGGCUGUAGUGGACUAGCUUUAUGUGGGGUUAAGUCAAGCAGUUGCUUUUAGUUGGUCAGGUUAUUAUUACUAGUAGAAAGCCAGGUUUUAGCAUUAACCCAAGUUCUUAACCCAAAGUACCCUUUCCAAAUUGAAAGAAUACCACUUACCAUUACCAUAAGCAUGAUCAUAACCAUCCUCAUCAUCAUCUAUAAACCAACCAUCUCUGAUUAAAGUGUCUCUAAUCAAUGGAGCUCCCUUGGCCGCUCAUAACCGCGAGCACGACUGAUAUAUCAGUUUCAUAACACUCUGCAGAGGUUGCGCACUUUACCCACAAGUGGUGAUUCCCUCUUGCCUCGGGCCGAUCAAACCCUUAAACACUACCAAGGUGAAUAGGCAGGGUUUCACUACGUAGCCUUUACAAAGAUUCCUCGAGGCUGUAGCCGCCCGUUAGGUUUCCUAAAUGCACCGCACUCCUCCCCAAGGGGCGAACCAAACUUGGCAGAGCGAGCCACAUAUACCGAGCCCCAUUAACGGCACGACGGCUAAGCGAACUACACCCCGGUUCCUCUAAUUAUUCAGCUAAGGGCAUCCCAUUCCACCCUCAUGGUUGCACUGUUUUCCCGGGCGGUCGUCCAACGAAUAGGUCCUUACGGAGAGGCACUCGAGAAACCGCUCGAGCCCCCUUGAAUGACACAAGUAUAACAUCAUAAUAAAGAAGGGAAACAGCGUAUCAUUGAUAAAUCUCAUCAUGUUCAUUUAUUAGAGUUGAGCUAAACAAUAAUAACCCAAAAGGUAAUCAAGGACAAGGUAAAUACAAAGCUAGUCAAUCCUUAGGUUGAUCAUGGUAUGCGGGUUGAUGAGUUAUAAAGUAAAUGGGACAUAAUAGGUCAGAGGACACUUGCCUUCACCAAACAGAUGCUCAGGGUCUUCGAUCUCGUAGAACUCAAAGAGUUCGAUCACUUGGUCGCCAUGCUUGAUCGUCGAUUCCUCGAAGCUUAGAAACGAGUCACGAUCUAAUCGCAACGCGAAGCGAAGACGAACAGGCACAAGCAAACAAACAUAUACAUGUGCAUAAGAACAUUACACCAUACAAGAUAAAAUGUUAUAAAAGCGAGCAAUAUAAAAUAGAGAGCGCCUCUACGGUUACGCGAGGAAAAGAACCACGAUAGUCGAAGCUACGGUCGAGGGGUUAGCGCGUUUACGUUAAACAAGUACUAAUUAGAACAUCCAAUUCAACAUAAUUAUAUUAAUUGAUAUUAAUCAAAUGUAAAUUAAUACUACUACUUAGUUUUGACUAACUUACUAUUUUAAUAGUUGACAGUUAAGCAAGUAACUUAAUGAAUAUGAGCGAUUCUAAGCGAGACGAAUUAACGACGCACGACGUGUAAACACGAUGUGCGCAAUGCGCGGACACAAACGACUUAGUGCGUGGACAAUGCGCGAUACGCGCGAACGGCACGCGGCAAGACGCGCGACACACGCGAACGACACACGACAACGCGUGCGAACAACACGCGCGACACUCGCGACGAGACGCGACGACGUGCGGGAAACAGCACCGCGGCACGCGCGGACCGACAUGCGAAACUAAUAAAUAAAUAACGUGAUUAAACUAAAUAAUUAUUAAUAAAUAACAUUUCAGUUAAGGUUAAUCAUAUUGGUGACUAAUUAUAAAUGCGCAAAUCGAAUUCUUAAAUUAGGUUUUUAAAUUGAAACGUCGUUCUAGUAGCCACUAGUUAAACAAACGUUUAACUAAAUUAAAUAAAAUGUGCAAAAAUUGGGAUAAAUAUUUUUAAAUUAAGAUAAUUUUAAUACGAAUCUAACGCAACUUGAAUGGAUCGAAUCAGGUUUAAAACGCAAAAGUUAUGAAUGUUUUAAACUAUACUGUAAUUUGUGCGGACUAAAUUUACGAGACUGCCAUCGUCUUCUUCCUCUUUUCAUCUUCUUCCUCUCAUCCAUGGAAGAGAGAAGAGGAAGGGGAGGGGGCUGCAUAGGGGAGGACGAGGUUGGGCCGGCCGCACGGGACGCGAGGGGCGCGGCCACCGCUCCCGGUGAGGGGUGCGCGCGGGCGUGGGGCGCGGGAGCGCGAGCGCCGCCGUCGGCCACCGCCGCCACCGCCGGGGAGGGGAAAAGGGGCGCCGCCGGGGAGGGGAAACAGAGGAGGAAGGGGCGCCGCCGCCGGGGAAGGUGAGGGGAGAGUGGGAGAUGCUUUGCACGGACGGGAAAACGAAGAAACGAAAAAACUCUAGGUGCAACAAUGGAGGUUUCUCACCGGAGAAGAAGACCCUCGCCGGAGCCGAAGCCAAAUCAGUCGAUUGCCGGAGAUUCGGGGGUCCAAUCGACGAACCGAACGCGCUGCGACGAAGCCCUCUACGAGACGAACGCAGCGGUACCCUCGGAUUCCGCAGACGUUGCACGGAUUGGGAGUAAUUGCUCGCCGGAGUUGGAACCGCCCCGAACUUCGGCGAGCAAUACCGGGAGCUAGAGAUUGGAUUUGGAGAAAACGUUUCGUGUUCUGGAACGGGCUCGACGAGAUGAAGCCGGACAUGUAUAUAUACCUAGGGUUUGGACGAGAUAAAAAUUCGGUUAAAAUUUGGAUUUUACUAUUUUUAAAAUUCAAAAAAAGCCUAGAAAUCCAUAUUUUGUGCUCAAAAUAUUAUAGAUACUUUCAAAAAUUCCAGAAAAAAUCCUAUAAAUGUUUUGGCACCUAAUAAACUAAAAAAAACAUAAUUAGAAUUUCUAAAAAUAUUUUUAAGUUCCACAAAUAAAUAGAUUUUGGUUUCUGGAAAAUAGAAAAAUAUUCCGAAAAAUAUGAAAAUUUACCGAGCGCUUCUAUAAGAUAUGUUAACAUGUUUCAAACACAUUUUGCACUUAGAAACACCAUGCAACGACAUGAAUGCAACAACCAAAGUGCCUUUAGGGCUUAUUCCACUAGGUUUACGCUAAUAUAAAACAAAAUAAUUCUCCAUUUUUAGAGAAAAGAGAAAGGAAAGCGAAGAACUGAGAGAGUAACACCUGAAUUUGGUGGAUAUUAGAAAAGAAAUUUUAUACCCCCAAAUUCAGGGUGUUACAGGGCCGAGGCCAUCUUACCCACAGACUUGGAAUACGGUUCCCCGAGGACAAAGGCAUACGACGACCAAAACAACCAGACCAGUCGAGAGGAUUCAUUGGACCAGCUGGAAGAGGCUCGGGACGUAGCCUUACUACACUCGGUGCAGUAUCAGCAGUCUCUGCGACGCUACCACGCCCGAAGGGUUCGGCCCUGAGGCUUCCAAGUGGGAGACUUGGUACUUCGGCUGCGACAAGACGCCCGAGGGCGCCACAAGCUUACUCCUCCCUGGGAAGGGCCAUUCAUCAUCGCCAAGAUUUUGAAGCCCGGGACAUACAAGCUGGCCAACGAUCGAGGCGAAGUCUACAGCAACGCUUGGAACAUCCAACAUCUACGUCACUUCUACCCUUAAAAUGUUUCAAGUCGUUCAUGUAUCUCGCUUUCUUUACGUGUAUAAAUAAAGUCUAACCGUCAAGGGAGGAUCGGCCUUGCCUCAGCAAAAACCGAACCUCCCUCGGGGGCUAAAAGGGGGGAACCCCCUCUGCGUCAAAAUUUUCCUCGGAAAAGUUUUCCGCCAAAACGACUUUCGUGCUUUUCGAUUAUAUCGAUAACGGAAUCCUAAAAACGAUGAGAGGAACCUUAAACGGCAAGGCCGACCGAGCCGAGGGACUCCUACGCCUCUGGGAUACGGAUACCUCACUCAUCACCUUCCGCGAAAAGUAACUCACGCUCAGAUAAGUGAUUCUGCUACCGACGAACAAGUCCUAACGCACGAAACAAGAGGAAAGAAAACACAACUUUAUACUCUGACGCUAAAAAUGAUUAGGCCUCAGCGGCCGCGAGAAACAUACGCAUACUUAAAACAAAUUGUUCCUACAGGCUCAGGUAUCGGCAGGGGGAGGAGCAGCACCCUCGGCGUCGUAUCCACCCUCGGCAGAAUCUGGCCCGGCCUCAGACGGCGACACGGGCGGAAGGAUCUCCACCUCAAAGGAGGAAGCCAGCGCCGCGCUUGGGCCCUCGACAGCCGCGUCAAGCCUCUGGACCUCGGCUAAGGCGGCCUCCUCUUCAUCGGGUAAGCAGUACCCCUCGCUGACCCGCUCCAGAUCCACGUCGUAGUGGGAAGCGAGGAUGACGAAGGCCCGCCUAACGCCGUGGUGCAGUGCCCCGCGGAGUCUGCUGCGCACAUGGCCGCCCAAGGCCCGCAGGUGACUCUGGGGGGAGCUACCCGAGGGGACGUCGUCGAGGCCAAAGGCAUGGCAAAAAGCCGAGAUAGCCUCGGACAUGGCCAUGCGGUCGGCCUCCUUCUGCUCAGCCGCCUGGGCAAGCGUCUUGCAGUUCUUGACGGACUCGUUAAGAGCCGUCUCGAACCCUAUAGACAGCUGGACAAUGUUCUUCAGACACAAGGAGAAGAAUGAAGUCAAAAGCAGAAUCACUUAUACGAGCAAGAGAGACUUUGAACGGCAAGGCCGGCCGAGCCAAGGGACUCCUACGCCUCCGGGAUACGGAUACCUCACUCGUCACCUUCCGUGAAAAGUAACUCGCACUCGGAUAAGUGGUUCUGCUACCGACGAACAAGUCCCAAUGCUCGAAAUAAGAAAGAAACACGACUUUAUACUCAAAUACCCAAAUGUUCAGGCCUCAGCAGCCACAGAGAACAAACACACAUACUUAGGGUAACUGUGGUACCUAGACUUAGACGUCGGCAGCACCCUCGGUGGUUUUCCCGACCUGCGGCAGAUGUCUUAGUACUUAAAGCUAUUACAUUUUGCUCUCAGGCAAAUACCAUUACAUUCCCUUACAAACGGGACUCCAGCUCCAUUCCCUCAGGAAUGAACUACCUCCACACCAGAGGGGAUGCGAGAUAACAAACUCCAAGCGGCUCGCCGGCGACCACUGCACCAGCAACGACAACGACCUCCGCCUCGGGCGGCUAGAUAGCAGUAGAGAUUGCCUCAGGGCAAACGCUACUGUGAAAAGGCUCUCGCCCACGUCCCCCUACGAGGGACGAGAACCAGCCAUUAAAGCCAAAGAGCCGGAGGUCCGACCGCAGGUGGCACUGACGGUCUCGUCGGCGGAGGCAACCGCUUCUGCAGGGGGAAGCCUCACCUAUGGCGACCACCACCUCAGCACCGACGACAGCGGCCACCUGCGCGCCAACGCCACACCGGCGAAUGGCGGCCGCCCCAGUGCGCACCGGCAAGUCCUCACUCCCGUCCUCGCCACAGGAGCGAGGACAAGACUAUCCAAGAACACGAACACCGCCCUCGCGGUGUACGACGUGUUGUGCGACCCCCCGGUGCGGCCGGCGGUGCGGGAAGGGCCAUGGACAUGGCCGGCCUGCGCACGACGCGACCGUCGCCCGUGCGGUGGACGGACAGCCACACCCUGACCAGGCAGCACGUGGCAGUUCGCCUCCUUCGUAAGGCUGGUGAACGCCCUUCUCCCCUGAAUGUUGGAGGAAGAAGCGGGUCGCCAGCCCAUGCGGAAGGCAGGGCCCCAACUCGGCUCGCCCUCCUCCCCAGCACGGAUGAUGAACAUCCUUGAAGCUGAGGGCAAGGUAGAGGCCACGGCCCGGCUCGCUCUUCCCCACCACAAGGCUGGCGGUCAUCAUCCUGGGUGACCACCGGUGGGGGAUUGCAGCCGGGCUGCAUGAUGAAAAUCCUUGAAGCCGAGCGAUGACUGAAGAGCGCCAACCCCCACGAAGUCACGCCCCUCUAACAGCAGCAAGAAGGCGACACAGGUGCACCCCAUCUGGGGGCUCGGAAGGUGGGAAGACGCGAUAAAUGUGAGGAGUGCGAAGGCAUGGCUACUGCCCAGGGGAUCGAUCUCUUUUUAAAGGCGGAUCUCCCCACUUGCGCCCCAAAGCAUCACAGGCGAAGUCUCCCCCGACGCGCUCCAGGGUUUCCACCCUACGACACGGGGGCUAGGUCCCGCAUGUCAUACAAACUGACCCAAAACGCGAGGAGGGCGAACCGCCACACACGAAGCAUGCAACUACCCGCGGGUAAGCGCUCUCUCAUCCUCGCCGAAACUAGCGGUCGAAAGGGCGGACUGCCACGCAAGAAGCAUACAACCGCACCACGGUUGUGCUCCCUUUCGGCUUUGUCGCAUCCGGCGGUCCAGCAUGGAGGCCCGGGCCCACAUGUCAUGUAACCGGCGCACCGGUUACUACGUGCAAGGAAACCGCACCGCCACUUGCGCCAAUGCCGCGUCUUCUCGACUGCAGAACCAGUGCAGCGACUCGAAGGCAGCCCCGCGCGUGACCCAACAGUGCCAAUUAAGUGCGACGAUCAUGGGUCAGUCAGCCGCGGGGAUAGGCACGACAGUUAAUAUGACCAAAGGCGGGCCGACAGUAAUUGCAGCAACAGACGUGCGGAAGCAGCGGUCCAACCACCAACCAGGCCCUGGUCCCACCUCCAGGCUCGCAUCCUCCCCUGAAGCGGCAGGAGAGCCUCCGAGUCCUGUCCCAUAGCAUAAAGACGACGCACCCGUGUUCCGUUCCUCGAACGACUCGCGCACGCGCAACAGAUGCCCCGCGAAUCGCCCGUCCCGUCGCGUUAACUCCCUGGCAGGGCACGCGACACCUCUGGCAGGCGAAGCGGGCGCCGUUUCGUCUCCGUCAUGAUGACCGCCUCAAAAAAGGUGUGCCACAUUGUUUAAAUUUAUAUCAUGUCUUCCUUUUCCCUCUCUCUCUCUCUUGCCACAGGGAUCAGAAAAGGGGAUAUUUCGGAAGGAUCCUUCUCAGCGAAAGAAACGGGCCCCAAGCCCUUUACUGAUCAGGGGUUCAAAGGUUGCGCCCUGCGGGGUUCGGCAACCGCCUUAGAGCACCCGGGCUCCGAGCCCUUUACUGAUCAGGGGAUCGAAGGCUGGCCCCUCGGAAGGGUUCGACAGCCGCCCCAGAGCAUGCAGAGUCAGGGAUGACCCUGGGUACGUCCGUUACAUGGCCGAGCCUCGGGCUACACUCCCGAGGUACCCUAGGACAUUUCCGAGACCAGCGAGAAUGAUUUGUAAUGGAAUCCCACCGGAGGGAGGCACCGAGCCCUCGGACCCUAUCAAAUGGGUCCGGGUCCAGCAAAUCACCUGCAGGUACUUUUGGAGCGCGCCUCUGGGCCACUAGCCGACCCUUAUCGAAUGGGGCUCGGGCGUCCACUCGGAUCACCUGAUAGCAACUCACUGGAAACACCAUGUUCGGCGCCCACCGAGGGUAACAUGGCGCGUUACCCCCCCUCCUCUUUGCGGAAAGGCAACGAAGGGGCGUACAAUAAAAAGCUGAGAUAGUCCUCGAUCGUCCUCUCGCUCCGUGCAGAGGCUGCUCUCGCACCAGGCUACGACCAAAUUGUUGAUCACGUCGACAAAACAACUUGAAAACUCGGAGCCUGACCAUGCACUCGGGCUGCGGCCAGGCUGCAUGAGGGAACAACAAGGCCGACCGAGGCAUCACAAAAAGAAUUAAGACCUCAGAGGAGUCAAACCACUCCUCCGAGGCCUCGGGGGUUACAUCCGACGGGUGCGCUUGCGCGCACCCAUCGGAACAAAGUAUAACCGAGAAAGGCUGGUCCCCUUGCAAAAAAUCCGGCAGAACCUCCAAGCGAGUACCUACACUCCCUUCGAGGCUCGGGGGCUACUAUCGGGUACCGUAAUUAGGGGUACCCCCAAUGCUCCUUAACAUGGCUGGAAAACAUCCUCAAAACAGACCUUAAAGACCGGUAAGCGCGGUUCAAAGUUGAAACCUCAGGGACGCGAUCUCGUCUCGCCCGAGCCCAGCCUCGGGCAAGAACAGUAGUCCCGGACGGAUUCACACCUCACCCGAGGACCUCCUCAGGCAACGGACACACCCCCGGCUCGCCCGAGGCAAAACUCGGGUAAACUUUGUCGUGUAGCGACCUCGGCCAAAUCGCCUUACCAACCGACCGUAUCGCAUGCGCAUUUAAUGCGGGGGUCGCCUGACACGCGCGCCUCAGUCGGCAAGGUCAAAGUGACUGCGUCACUUCGCCCCUUUACUGAUCGUUCUGACAGGAAAACAACACUAUUCACCCCGUUCCGACUACUGUGCCAACCACCAGGGUAAAACUAACGACAGUAAGUCACGACCUCCCCCGAGUUCAGCCUCGGGCGCAACAGGGAGCUCUGCCUCGCCCGACCUUAGGCCUCGGCCUCGGGAGAAGGUAUCUGAAAGUGCAUUCAUCCCUUUUGUGAGUUUUGGUGAUUUGGAUAACAACACAUUUAAAGGUCUAACAAGUUUGCUAAAGUGUUGAACAGGAAAUUCAGUAUGAUGAACAUACUUGAAUAGUGUAUAAUGACAGUGAACAAAGGUUCAACACAAGGUUAAAUAACCAGUGAGACAAUGCAAAUGGAUACAAUAUGAUCUCUAUAUUCGCUUGAAUAUAUGGACAAGACCUGAGAAAUCACUAUGCAUAAAUAUGAUCAUAAUAGAGGUUGAAGUGAUUAAGAGGAUUGGUCAAGCCAAAGUGAAUAAGAUAUGAGGAACCGUGAAUUGGCUUGACCAUAUUACUAUUAGUCCAUAUAUGAAUAUAUGAGAAUCAAACUAGAGCUUGAUUGAUCUUAGCAGUUAUAUCUAGACGACAUUUAAGCAAGGUUCACAAUAUUGAAGAAAUGAUUCUCUCAAUGGAUGCUCAAUGGGAUGUGACUCAAGAAUGGCUUGAUAGGGUGAAGAUAGCAAGGAAAGGGCUUCGAGGAACUAAGCAAAGGUGAAGGCCAAGCGACGGCUUGUAGAUCGAGGUACCAUGGCUAAGGUGAAGAAGAGAGUACUUGCACUAAGUCGAUGAACUAAUCAGCUAUAAAGAGUUACAACAUGUUGAUGCAUUAGUAAGGUGACUUGAAGCCAUGAUUUGAACUCAUAUUUGGUGAAAUGGUACAAGUCACAAGGUUUGCUUUGUGUUUGCUUCAAAAGGUGAGACAAGGAUGUUAGUGAUCCUUAUGAAGCAACACCAUGGAGAAAUCACACAUGAGACACCAAUUACUCAAGGAGUUUACUUAAUUAUAUUUUAUUUAACUUGAGUAUAGGAAUCGUCGUACUAUCAAGGGGGAUCCAAAAAGAAGGUUGGUGUUGGUACUAAAGCUCAAAAUCCUUGAUCUAAAAUUUCCAUUUUACCCUGGUUUCACUUUGGUUUUCUCAAAAUCUGUGCAACAGUUCAAAAACCGGUUCAACCGGACCUAAAACCAGUUCAACCGGUUUCUGUACUAUUCCCCUCUGUCACUGCCAGUCUGCCAGUCAGAAAAAGUCGUGUGCAGAUUUUUGGAAAACCGGUUCAACCGAAUUUUGAAUCCGGUUCAACCGAAUUUGAAACCGGUUGAACCAAAUUUGAAACCGGUUCAACCGAAUUUGGGACCGGUCCAGUCUCCGGUUGAGUCCGCCAGUGAACCAAAAAUCGACUGGUGGAAUCCGGUUCAACCGGAUUUAGAACCGGUUCAACCGAAUUUCAGUCAGAUUUCCCUAACGGCCACCAGCUUUUGGGGCACCUUUAUAUACACCUCCCACACUCUUCCCCACAGUAGAGCACGCACAAAACUCCAUUUCCAACCUGAGAAACACCUCCCAGUCUCUCUCACACACCUCUUGUCUCUCCCAUUUCAAAUAUUUGGAGAGAAAUCUUUGAGUGAGAUUGAAGAGCUGUGAUUUUGGUGCUUCAUCUCUAAAUCCUUCUUGCUCUUCUUGAUUCGAGCUUUGGUAUUACAUCGAGUUCUUUGUGGAUUCAUUACUCUUGGAGCUUCUAGCUCCUAGACGACUAGGUGUCUCUUGUGAGUCUCCAAAUCUUGUGGAAGGCCACAAGAAAGUUUGUAUUACCCGCUCGUUUGAGCAAAGAUUAUUGUGUGGGCUUGACCUUUGUGGUCGGCAAAGGGAGGAUUAGGGUUGAAAGAGACCCGACUCUUUGUGGGCGCCUCAACGAGGAAGUAGGGCACCUUGGUGGUGUGACCGAACCUCGGGAUAAAUCUUGUGUCUCUUGUGUUCUUGCUCAUUGUGUUUGUUUGUGUUCUUCGUUCUCUCACCAUUGCGUGGAAGAUUUGUUUUUAUAUUUUUGAUGUGUGGAUUUUGAGAAGUGCCCUUCUCAGAUCUACUACUUUGAACCCUGUGGGUCAUUUAGAACAUCUCAUUUCCAAAGUUAACUGGGUGAAUUUCAAGAUCAAUUCAGUUUUACCCAGUUUGCUUCUAGUUUUUGUUGAAAAAGUUUUAACUUGCCUAUUCACCCCCCCUCUAGGAAACUUUCAGUAUCCGCCUCACCUGACCCCAGGCCUCAGCCUCAGCCUCGGCCUCAGGAGAAGGUCUCUGCCUCGCCCGACCUCAGCCUCGGCCUCAGGAGAAGUCUCUGCCUCGCCCGACCUCGGCCUCGGACCGACGACGCCACUGGGGAUACAUCAUUACCCUACCCCUAGCUAGCUGCCUCAGGCUACGAAGGAACAAGACCGGUGUCCCAUCUAGAUUACUCUGGUUACAGGUAAUGAUGGUUCCCUGUGUGCGUCCAUGACAUCGGUUGUUCUCAACUACUCUACGAAAGCAAAGAAACGUCAGCAGGACCCCUGCCGCACCGCCAGCUGCGCUUCUACAGGGCUCAAGUACUUCUCUGUCGGCCACGUUAGCACAUAGCUACACCCCCAUUGUACAGCUGGACCAUCUCCUUGUAUCUAUAAAAAGGGGUGUCCAGGGCCUUCCUAAGGGGGAGAGGCAGGUAGAGUGGGAGAAACGCAGAGGAGGCUAACUCAGACAGCUCAACUUAGGGCCAAACCCUCUUCCUCUCUCUCUCGCGACGCUUGUAACCCCUACUACGAGCACCCCGGUGCAAGAUAAUAUAAGCCUCAUCCUCCCUCUUGUGUUCCAUCUUGCAUCAACCCAUCUAGGCAGGGACACGCAGCGACAAAUUCACUAGUCGGUUGAGGGUCCUCGCGGGUCCGAAACACCGACACUACUUAUACUUAGUAAUUGCUAAUAAAAUUUUGACCAACUUUAAAAGCAAUGCUCAGCUUCAACCAUCCUCUUUGGUAAGCCUUACACUUCACAUGAUCUCCCACCUUUGGCAAGUUCAUGCACAUUAUUCCCCACAACUUGUUGAGUGAUGAAUAUAUGUGAGCUCACCCUUGUUGUCUCACACCCCCCACAAGUCAAGAACAAGUACAGCAGGAUGAAGCGCAUGGAGGAUGCUGUGACGAGUUCGUGAGUGACCUAGGUCGUCGUCUCCCAGUCAACUUUGGGUUAGUGGAUCAUUGUCUCCUUACGAUGUAAUUAUUUAUUUAUUUUAUACAGAACUCCUAUUAUAUAGUAAAGAUGUGACAUUUGUUUAUGUACCAUGAUUUAUCAUAUGUGUGAGACUUCGACCCAGCACAUCUGGUGAUUGUGUUCGCGCCCGGGUCCCUAAAACCUGGGUGUGACAGAAGUGGUAUCAGAGGAAUGUUGAAUGUAGGACGAAACCUAGAUAGAACUGGACAACCAUUACUUGUCUUUGUUACUCUGAUUCUUUCUGAACUUUUCUUAAUCUUUUCUCAUCUAUUUCCGCUUUACUCUGAUUAUUCUUACCUUUUCACUUCUAAAGACAAAAGUGGAUUUCACACGUUGAAGUCAUGUACCUAAAGUGACCUUUAGGAAUUGGAGACCUAAUCUUAGGAACAAAAUCAAAACAAUUUUUGCAAAAAAAAUUAUAUGCUUGAAUGUUUGUUCUUGUGAUACAUGUCUGAUUUGGAUCUUGAUUGAGUGUGAUGAGUUGUGGAGCAAUGUCCACAAAUACAUCUGCAUAUACAUAUAAGCAUAAAAAUAAAUAAAUAAAAUUCAUAAGAAAACUAAACAACCUAGAUUAUCCUCCAUUAAAGUGUAUCUAUUUUAAAUAGAUCCCUCUUAACUUAAAAAAAAUCAAAUUGUGGCUGCCUAGGGAUCAAACCUUGGAUCUAUUGAGUAGAAUGCCUAGCCUUCCACCAUCUAGCCAACAUGACUCAUGUUGAAUUGUGUACAACUUCAACUAAAACGUCUUUUGUGUUUAACCUACCGUCCACUCUGUAUGCUAACUGAGUCUAGAAAAACAUUUAUAGCUUGGCCCCUGAUCUUUCUGGAAUUUGAGACGCAGUCCAGGAAAUAAAGAAAAUAGGGAAAAGGAGUUUAGAAAUUGAUUUUUAGUUUAAAAAUAAUUGCAGAAACCCAUUUAAUUCAUGGAAAUUUCAUAUUAAAUCCAAAUGAGUUCAUUCCAAUUUCUAUAACUCUAUAAUAUUAUUUUUAUCACAUAAUACCUCUGUUUUGUCAUGAAAACAACAAUAAAAUUGAUUUCCUAAUUAAUCCUAUAUCAAAUACAUAGAAACUUUGGAAAUUCGUAACCUCCUCAUUUUAAUUCCAAAUUGAAUCGUUCCAGUUGUGUUAGUCUCGUAUGAAUAUUUACUACGCAGUAACAACAUUGAUUAUACCAUGUUUCAUACUUUUAUAAUUAGAUAUUUAUUUAUCCUAUGUUAAUUGGGUUAAUCUAUGUCUAUUGGAUUAAUUUAUUUAAUAUAUUAAUAUAGUAUUCUAACUUUGUGGUUAUACGAUGUUUGACCAUUAGUCUUGCAAACACACACUUACCUUUUUGUUUAAGCAAAAGCGUAUGGUGGUACGUGUCCAAUGACUAACGAUGUACGAGAGAAUUUCUUCUGUUAUGUGUGAAACGUGCUCUCCAAUAAUGAGAUCAUACAAAUCGUGAUAUAUAUCAAAGUCUGCAUGAUACUGAUGGUUGCAAUGUAGUGGUGAAACAGAUAGAUUAUAAAUAAAAAAAUUUAUGUAUGGCCAGAAUCACAAAUUGAUUAUGAAACAUUUUCUCAUAACGGUAUAACACAUAUUUUGUAUAUAAGUUAUCGUAGUAUACUGGUAUUAUAUAUUCCCGUUGCAACGCACGGGCAUUCAACUAUCAUGUAUAGAAGUCUGCACGGUACUGUUGGUUGCAAUGUAGUGAUGAAAUAGUUAGAUUGAAAUAACAAAAUUUAUGUAUGGCUAGGAUCACAAAUUAAUUACGAAACAUUUUCACAUAACAGUAUAACACACAUUUGUUCAUAAGUUAUCAUGAUAUUAAAUGUUUCCAUUGCAACGCACGGGCACCCACCUAUAUGUGUUUAUGCCUACAUCUAUGACAGGAAACACAUCUACUACAUCUCUCUCCAAGCUCACUUGCUACCAUUGCACAAUGCGUAGUAGUAGAUAAGUAUCACCGAUAUUCUUGAAUUAUAUUUUUGGAUGGAGGUAAUAUUAUUUAAAGAAGAGCUUUGCAUGCUAUUUCUUUUGUUUGAAUAAUGCAUUAUACUUAAAUUCCCUUUUUUGCAUGUGUGAAAUUUUUUCUUCGUAAUAUUUUUUUCCAUGGAUCAGACUUGUGAGUCAUUUUCAUAAACCAACGCCAAGCAUGAAUCCAUGUUUCCUACUUCAAACCCCGAACAAACUCCAUGAGCAGGAGGCAUUCGCGUUGUCGUCGCUCAUCGAUGACGAGAAGAAGCUUGGAGACUGUCAGUUCGACCUCUAAAAGCAGUCUUACGUGGUCGCAUGCGCCGCUGUGUACGACAAGCUCCCGCGAAGCCGCCGCUUGGACGCGGUCCAGAGCAGCUGCACCGCGCUAUCCGUCGUUAAGCAGGGGGGCCUCAUGGUUGUCGGCAACGUUGACGACUCUCGGGUUGUUCUGGACACCGCAUCCGACGACGACGCCAUCAUGCCGUCCAGCUCAUCGUCCACCUGAAACCCAACCUGCCACGUAAGUCGCUACUGACCAGACAUGAAUUCUUGUGCGCUGGGACGAUGGACGUUGCUGACGUUGUGUGAGUGUCCUCGAACAUGAUGUAUGUAGUGGAAUAACGCAUUCGGUGGUACAACGACCAGGGGUACUACCUCACUGAUGAGCCCGGGGUGCACUUCGUUUGAUAGCCCAACCAAGAGUCAUCGGUACUCGUCAUGUCGCGUGCGUUCGACGACUACUAUAUCGAGGAUUGUGGCGUCAUCUUGGCGCCGGAGGUGACACAGAGGAGGAUCGACAACAGUGACCAGUUCGUCAUCCUCGCCACCGUCAGGGUAGCUUUUGUGCCGGCCUGCCUUUAAUUCUCUUCGCAAACACAUACACACUUACCUUUUUGUUUAAGCAAGAGCAUAUGGUGGUGCGUGUCUGAUGACUAACGAUGUACGAGGGAAUUUUUCCGGCAUGUGUGGAACGUGCUCGUGCUCUCCAAUGAUGAGACCAUACAAAUCGUGGCAUAUAUCGAAGUCUGCAUGAUACUGAUGGUUGCAAUGUAGUGGUGAAAUAACUAGAUUAAAAUAACAAAAUUUAUGUAUGGCUAGGAUUACAAAUUAAUUAUGAAACAUUUUCUCAUAACAAUAUAACACAGAUUUUGUAUAUAAGUUAUCGUAGUAUACUGAUAUUAUAUAUUCCCGUUGCAACGCACGGGCAUCCAGCUAGUUGUUUAUAAGAUAAACUAGACCAGCUAAGAAUACCCCCACUAGAAUAUAUCAAGCCUAAUAGAUCCAUCUUAUCUUAAAAGACUCUCUUAUCUUGAAGAAAUCAUCUUAUCCUAACCACUUUACUUAUUUCAUCCUAAAGUAACAACUAGGAUCUAAUCCAAAAUAAUGAGAUCUUAUCUAGUCUAAUCUAGUCACACAAAUAUAACUUAAAUCUGAUCUAAUGUGAUAGAUUAAUCCAACCUAACGAAGGCUAAAGUGGAGCUAAUCUAAUGUAAGUUGCUUAACAAGAAGGAUAAUAAUGAUGAAAUAAAUGAGACUCAACUCCUAUAAAAUAUGUUUUAACUUAAUUCACUCUGCACUAAGUUAAGAAUGACCGACCAACUCGGCCUUAUGCAACUACCUUAACCAUUCGAUGGUUGUAUAACCCCUCUGUUUUAACCUAACAAAGAUUCUGACUCACCUACACCAUAUAAUUCAUCCUAUCUCAAAAGGUUCUAACAUACCCUAAUAAUAUUUAUUCUGCCCUAGUAGAUCUAUAUAACCUAAACUAGUCUAUUCUAGUCAUACCCAAUUCUACCUAAUCAAACCUAAUGUGAGUCACUCAAACAUGAUUAGCUAAUGCUGAGGAAAUACAUUAGACCCUGCUCCUAUAAACAAGUUUGAGAUCUUAGAUCAACUCGACCCUACCAAAUAUCUUGACCUAUAAAAACAGGUUACAUAACUAAUCCCAUCUAGCAUAUAGCUACUUAUUAAACCCUCUACCCAUCUGUUACCUACAGAUCUAUCCUAACCUCUUGUCCCAAACCCGGAGGUAGACACCAAAGCUUAAGAAGGAAGAGAUCAAUCUCAUUAAAGAAGAAUAGGAAUCAAGCUAGACCCCCAAAGGAAGCUCGAUUAUGCCAUAGUACACUCAUUCUAUGUCAACACUCACCUAAUAGCUAAAACAUGAUGUAGCCUUGUUUUCAUGCCAAGAAAAUUUUUAGGUAUAUAAAAAAAUUAACUGGAAGUUCCACUUAGAUAAAAAAGGAUACUAGAAUUUCAUAAAGAUAAAGUCAGCUUGAUAUGCUCAACUAAAAGGCAUUCUUAAAUAGAAUUAUAGAAUCUAAUGUGAUAUAAUCUAGUGUGAUAUAAUCUAAUGUGGUCUACUUAAACAUAUUAGUGAUACUAGUAGAAGAGAUUAGACCCUGCUAGCCAGGUGUUAACUUAACUUAGUACAUUAGACCAACUCAGCCACAUGCAUGAGAUCUAACCCAACCAAUAGAGUCAUGAUGGAUUGCAUAAUCUAUCUACCCUCACCUGACAUCAAACAAGAUUUUGACCUACAUCGUGUAGUCCAUCUCACCCAUAAAUAUUUCAACCAUAUGCCCCAACUCUGCUGAUAUACAUUAACCUCGAAUUAAUGAGACCAAGACCGAAGAAGAAAAGAUCAACAUCAACAAGGGAGGAUCUAACAGUCAAAAUGAAUCUCGAGAUGAAUCAAGACUUAAACCUUUCGGAUGAAGUCUUUUCCUUGCCAUAAUCUUUCUUACCUCAACCUAUCCAGCUUAUAACCUACAUAAUAAGUAGUUGGAUACCUAUGCUCUCCCAAUCACCCACUAUUGACUAUAAAAAAGUGAGACUCUGGAUUUUUGAACCAAUUAUAGACUAAAAGCUGAAUUACAAACCAAUCCUUUUGUACCCCUUUUCUUGCAUAUCUCGAGAAUGAGGUUUCUGUUAAGGGGUAGGAUUUGUAAAGCCCAAAAAUUGUAUCAGAGAAAAAAAAAAAUAAUAAUAAUAAUAAUAAUAAUAAUAAUAAUAAUAAUAAUAAUAAUAAUAAUAAUAAUAAUAAUGAAUAAAUAUUAUUGUGUAGGGUUUUAGGAUUAUGGAACCAUUGGAGAUUACUUGAUUUCCUUUUAUUUGUGCAUAUUCAAUUAAUGGAAUUAUAUUGGUUAAACAACAAAUAAAUAAAUAUAGAAAAAUGCAUAUCAUGCUGGAAUUCUUGUACUUUGCAUUUGUACUCACAUUUUUAGACAAGUUAAAUUUGAAAGGUAGAAUUUGUAACACCCAAAAUCUUAUUUUGCGAUUUUCUCCCAAAGAAAAUAAGUUAGAAGAAUAAAUUCCUUUCUUUGCAAAAUACAUUUCCCUAAAGAACAUAGACUGUAAUAUUAAACUUGUGGGUAGCUCGAAGCUUAUAAUUAAACAUUGAAAACUAGAGAAAACAUCAUCAAAUAUUGAACUCGUGGACUAUUCUUAAAUAAUCUCUUUGUGUUUAGGAACCUUCUUUUAGUAAAGACCAAAUUAAAGACUCUUAUACAAAUUGAUUUAUUUUAGGAGGAUAUAAUAUUUAUAAACAUCCACUAAGACAUUAAGAUGAUUAUUUUCUAGAAUAGUAUACAUUUUGUGCAUACAAGUGUUCAAAUUUAAAAGAAGUGGAUUAUUAGAUAAAGUAAGAUAAUAAAUAAAAUUGAUAAAAUUAAACUUACAUUUCAUACUGUGGUUUUAAGUGCAUAUUUAAAAUUGAGUCAAAGUUUGAAAGGUUUUGAAUCUAGUGUAAAUUUACAAAUUGAAAUAGAAAACAGUAAAAAAACAAAAGAAAAAGAGAAACCUUCAUCUGGGCCAAAUCCCAUAGCUUCGGCCCAUCCUCCCUUGGAUCCGCGCGGCCAGCGCUUCAACUGCGCGUCCGGGCGCCGACAAUCGGGCCCACCCGUCAGCUCACCUAUCUAUGAACGCCAAAGUCUGGUCGUUGCCUUGUGGGGUCGCGUUGUCAGGUCUCCCAUCUUCCUCGCGUGGCGCUGCUCGGGUUGAUCGUCCCACCAAUUUCCACCGAAAUCGGGGGAUUCUGUUACAACCGCCCGCACAGGUAGCCACCUGGUGCUUUGCCCUAUUUAAGCCGCGUCUCGGUGCCAUCCAAGGGCUUGUUCGGUUCUACCCCAAUCCAUAUGGAUUGAGGGGGAUUGAGGGAGUUUCAAUCCCUAGCAAGUCAAAAUCCCACCCAAUCCGUAUCAAUCCCCUCCAAUCCAUAUGAAUUGAAAAUAACCGAACAAGCCCCAAAGGAGUUUCGUCGAGCCGCCAUUAGUGCGGGGGGAAUGGAUCCAGUUCGCCGACAUUGCCACCCUCCCACACCACCGAUUGGUGAUUGAAUAAGGGCCUUGGUAGUUCACCUGUGCGUGUGGGUUCUCCCAAACGAGUCAAUUGGAAACAAGAAACUUCCAGGCGCGUGGAAUUUGUCGACAGAUCCUCACCAUUCGCUCGGGCCGCACUUGCCGGGGUCCAACACCACCACAUCCAUACAACUGGUAUGAAUAGCACCAAUUGUUUCGUCUUCAUCUCUCGGCACCGCGGUCUGGUGCCGCUAGGAAGGAGAAGAUCGUGCUCGCUGUUGAUAUGGUAACUGAUGUCUAGGAUUAGAGCUCAAAGUACCCUUUCACGGUUUGAAUCCCAACCGUUGGCGCGUGAUCGGGCGAAUCCGGGCCGAUCAAGGUCAAUUAAAAUCCGAACCACUGAUGAUAGAUCGGAGGGGCGAGGUCGCGUACCGGUUCACAGUUAUGAGCCAACUAAUCUGUGGUGUUGGUGGACGAUCCAACGGCCAAUAUCGUGUACCGGUUCGUGGGGCUUGGGAUCUAAUCUGGGGCGUUGAAAAUAGAUCGCACGGCCAGAAUUCUCUGAUAGCCUUCGGCCGACCCUUUUUAACAUGAGACCCUCUUCUUUUCGCAAAUAGACCCGCAGUCCAUGUUAAUUGAAAGAGCACUACAACUAGGUCCUUUCUCUUGCUGUUAGGCCCCUAAGUUCUUGGAAAAUUGUGUCCCUAGUCCAGAAAUAGUAGGAAUAUUCAUAAUUUAAAUCAGAAAAUGAUUUUCUUUGUAUAAAUAAUUCCAUAGACUUGAUUAGUCCAUAUCUAAUCCAUUUUAAUUCCUUUUUGAUCCAACUCAGUUGCAAUAAAUGCAUGAUAAUAUUGUUUAUUAUCUAGUAACCUAUUUUAGUAUGAAACAUAUGGUUAAAUUUAUGCGCUUGAUUUAUUUUGUAUCUACCACUUAAAACUUAGGAAAAUCAUAACUUGUCCACUUUAGCUCCGAAUGGACCCAUUCAAAUUGUAGUAGCUUCAUAUAAAUAUUUACUAUGCAUUAACACACAUUAAAUAGACAUACCACAUGGUUUAUAAUUAAAUAAUUAUUUAUCCUAUGUCUAGUAGAUUAAUCCAUCUAAUUAAAGAAACAUGUUUAUAAUGUGAAUAAAAGAGGAUCUUUAACUAAGACAUGACUUAUAAAUAAAGAUUAUCCUUAAUGUAUAUCUCACAUGAUCUAUAAAACCAACUAAGGCCCAGUUUUAAUUAUUUAAUCACUACAAUCUUCCGAAAGCCAUAUCCUCUUAACCGUAACUCCGAUUUUAGUGGUUCUGGAGCCCACAAUCUCGAAGCAAUGCGUAGAUUAUUAUUAUGCAGUUGUUCUUAUGUUUGGUGUGAUGUUAAUUUUUGCCUAUGCACUAUUUGUUUGUAUUGCUACGUUUAGCAGUGAGGUUACGAGUCAUCUGAAGAGCAAGUUGGUACCUGAAAUCUCAAGUCCCAGGCAAGUUGUGCCCUUGAUCACUUUUAUUUACCCAAUAAUGUUUUUUAUAAUCAUUUAUUCAUGUAUAGGCUUAAUUUUGAUGGGACCCAAUAUAUCACCCUAGUCUGGUUAUCUUUAUACCUUGUUUACCCUUGAACUAUUUGGAUAGUUUUUGCUAUUGCUCUAUAUGGUUUUGGGAUUAAUAUUACAUUAUGAUCAUGUUUCAAUUAUACUAUUGUUUUACAUAUUGUUCAUGACAAGAUCAUUAUAUUAAUUGGAACAUGGAGCUUAACUUGAGAAACUCAAACACGUGCCACCACAAGGGUGGAAUGGGACGGCCUUGGCUGACUAAUCAGGAAAGCUAAUGGAAGACUACCUUACCCGAAAGGGGCAACGGCACUAGGGGAGUAGGCGUGUAGAGAGGUUCUCGAGUUGAUUUUGCUGCGAUGGCGGUCAUACAAGGGAUUCCUACAUUGCUCUUCCUAGAAACUGUAGCGGGUUUUCGGAAGCUAGUGGAACUUUGUAAAGGCCUCAUAGUGGAUCCCUAGUCAUUCACCUCGGAAGUGUCUAAGGGCCUUGCAAACCUUGGCGACAUGGGAUACACGACUUCUGGGUACAGGGUACAACCUCUGCAGAGUGUAAAACUGGUAUACUAGCCAUGCUCGUUGUCAUGAGCAGCUCACGACUAUCGCUCGAUUAAUUUAUGGAACUAAAUUCAAUUUGUCAUAUGCAUUGGAUCGCGGUUGUUCUUAUCAAUUUUGAUCUAUAUUACUCUGGUUUGGUAUCUACUUAUACUUAGUCAUUGCUAAUAAAAUUUUGACCAUCUUUAAAAGCAAUGCUCAGCUUCAACCAUCCUCUUUGGUAAGCCUUACACUUCACAUGAGCUCCCACCUAUGGCAAGUUCAUGCACAUUAUUCCCCACAACUUGUUGACCGAUGAACAUAUGUGAGCUCACCCUUGCUGUCUCCCCCCACAGGUCAAGAAUAGGUACCGCAGGAUGAGGCGCAUGGAGGAUGCUGUGACACGUUCGUGAGUGGUCUAGGUCGUCGUCUCCUAGUCAACUUUGGGUUGCUGGAUCAUUGUCGCCUUACGAUGUAAUUAUUUAUUUAUUUUGUACAGAACUCCUAUUCUAUAGUAAGGAUGUGACAGUUGUUUCUGUACCAUGAUUCAUCAUAUGUGUGGGACUUUGUCCCAGCACACCUGGUGAUUGCGUUCGUGCCUGGGUUCCUAAAACCUGGGUGUGACAACUCUAUAUGUGUGGUGUGUUACAAGUGGCGUCUCCUGAAUGGAGAGGGGCUAAUGAGAUGCAAAUGAUGGGGUCCCUCCUAGGCCUUAUAUACACAAC